rnacentral:rRNA from 1 species
UACGGGAGGCAGCAGUGAGGAAUAUUGGGCAAUGGAGGCAACUCUGACCCAGCCAUGCCGCGUGCAGGAAGACUGCCCUAUGGGUUGUAAACUGCUUUUAUACAGGAAGAAACACACCUACGUGUAGGUGCUUGACGGUACUGUAAGAAUAAGCACCGGCUAACUCCGUGCCAGCAGCCGCGGUAAU